rnacentral:rRNA from 1 species
GAUGAACGCUGGCUGCGUGCCUAAUACAUGCAAGUCGAGCGAACGGACGAUCUUCUUUUUUCUCUGAUGUUAGCGGCGGACGGGUGAGUGACACGUGGGUAACCUACCUAUAAUACUGUGAUGACUUCGGGAAACCGGAGCUAAUACCUGAUAAUAGUUUUAACCGCAUGGUUCGAUAGUGAAAUACGGUGUUUUUGUCUCGUCUAGAUGGAUGCGCGCUGCUUUAGAUAGUUGGUAAGGUAACGGCUUACCAAGGCAACGAUGCAUAGCCGACGUGAGAGGGUGAUAGGCCACACUGGAACUGAGACACGGUCCAGUCUCAUACGGGAGGCAGCAGUAGGGAAUCUUCCGCAAUGGGAGAAAGCCUGACGGAGCAACGCCGAGUGAGUGAUGAAGGUAUUCGGAUAGUAAAACUCUGUUAUUAGGGAAGAACAUAUGUGUAAGUAACUGUGCACAUCUUGACGGUACCUAAUCAGAAAGCCACGGCUAACUACGUG